GAUGAAGAACGCAGCGAAAUGCGAUACUUGGUGUGAAUUGCAGAAUCCCGUGAACCAUCGAGUCUUUGAACGCAAGUUGCGCCCGAAGCCACUAGGCCGAGGGCACGCCUGCCUGGGCGUCACACGCCGUUGCCCCCCCAUCUACUCCUUCGGGAUUGCGGGGGGGCGGAUGAUGGCCUCCUGUGCGCCUAGCCGCGCGGUUGGCAUAAAUACCAAGUCCUCGGCGACGCACGCCACGACAAUCGGUGGUUGCGAAACCUCGGUUGCCCGUCGUGUGCGUUCGUGGCGCAUCGAGGGCUCGAAAAAAUGCUCGGCUCCGGCUGGGCUUUCAACGCGACCCCAGGUCAGGCGGGGUUACCCGCUGAAUUUAAGCAUAUCAAUAAGCGGAGGA
rnacentral:misc_RNA from 1 species